UACGGAGGGUGCAAGCGUUAAUCGGAAUUACUGGGCGUAAAGCGCACGCAGGCGGUCAAUUAAGUCAGAUGUGAAAGCCCCGAGCUUAACUUGGGAAUUGCAUUUAAAACUGUCCAGCUAGAGUCUUGUAGAGGGGGGUAGAAUUCCAGGUGUAGCGGUGAAAUGCGUAGAGAUCUGGAGGAAUACCGGUGGCGAAGGCGGCCCCCUGGACAAAGACUGACGCUCAGGUGCGAAAGCGUGGGGAGCAAACAGG
rnacentral:rRNA from 1 species